UUUCCGGGGCUUAGUGCCGGAGCUAACGCAAUAAGCACUCCGCCUGGGGAGUACGACCGCAAGGUUGAAACUCAAAGGAAUUGACGGGGGCCCGCACAAGCGGUGGAGCAUGUGGUUUAAUUUGAAGCAACGCGAAGAACCUUACCAGGUCUUGACAUCCCGAUGCUAUUCUUAGAGAUAGGAAGUUACUUCGGUACAUCGGAGACAGGUGGUGCAUGGUUGUCGUCAGCUCGUGUCGUGAGAUGUUGGGUUAAGUCCCGCAACGAGCGCAACCCUUAUUGUUAGUUGCCAUCAUUAAGUUGGGCACUCUAGCGAGACUGCCGGUAAUAAACCGGAGGAAGGUGGGGAUGACGUCAAAUCAUCAUGCCCCUUAUGACCUGGGCUACACACGUGCUACAAUGGUCGGUACAACGAGUUGCGAGCCGGUGACGGCAAGCUAAUCUCUGAAAGCCGAUCUCAGUUCGGAUUGGAGGCUGCAACUCGCCUCCAU
rnacentral:rRNA from 1 species